UACGGAGGGUGCCAGCGUUGUUCGGAAUCACUGGGCGUAAAGGGCGCGCAGGCGGUUUGGUAAGUCAGAUGUGAAAGCCCUGGGCUCAACCCAGGAAGUGCAUUUGAUACUGCCUUCCUUGAGUACGGGAGAGGGAAGCGGAAUUCCGAGUGUAGAGGUGAAAUUCGUAGAUAUUCGGAGGAACACCGGUGGCGAAGGCGGCUUCCUGGACCGAUACUGACGCUGAGGCG
rnacentral:rRNA from 1 species